rnacentral:rRNA from 1 species
UGGGGAAUAUUGGACAAUGGGGGCAACCCUGAUCCAGCAAUGCCGCGUGGGUGAUGAAGGCCUUCGGGUUGUAAAGCCCUUUUGGCGGGGACGAUGAUGACGGUACCCGCCGAAUAAGCUCCGGCUAACUUCGUGCCAGCAGCCGCGGUAAUACGAAGGGAGCUAGCGUUGUUCGGAAUUACUGGGCGUAAAGGGCGCGUAGGCGGUUUCGAUAGUCGGGCGUGAAAUCCCCAGGCUCAACUUGGGAAUUGCGUUCGAUACUGCGAGACUUGAGUGAGGGAGAGGAUAGUGGAAUUCCCAGUGUAGAGGUGAAAUUCGUAGAUAUUGGGAAGAACACCAGUGGCGAAGGCGGCUAUCUGGACCUCAACUGACGCUGAGGCGCGAAAGCGUGGGGAGCAAA